rnacentral:rRNA from 1 species
GCAGUCGACGGUAGCAGGAAGAAGCUUGCUUUCUUUGCUGACGAGUGUUCGGACGGGUGAGUAAUGCUUGGGAAUCUGGCUUAUGGAGGGGGAUAACUGUGGGAAACUGCAGCUAAUACCGCGUAUUCUCUGAGGAGGAAAGGGUGGGACCUUAGGGCCACCUGCCAUAAGAUGAGCCCAAGUGGGAUUAGGUAGUUGGUGGGGUAAAGGCCUACCAAGCCUGCGAUCUCUAGCUGGUCUGAGAGGAUGACCAGCCACACUGGAACUGAGACACGGUCCAGACUCCUACGGGAGGCAGCAGUGGGGAAUAUUGCGCAAUGGGGGGAACCCUGACGCAGCCAUGCCGCGUGAAUGAAGAAGGCCUUCGGGUUGUAAAGUUCUUUCGGUAAUGAGGAAGGGAUGUUAUUAAAUAGAUAGCAUCAUUGACGUUAAUUACAGAAGAAGCACCGGCUAACUCCGUGCCAGCAGCCGCGGUAAUACGGAGGGUGCGAGCGUUAAUCGGAAUAACUGGGCGUAAAGGGCACGCAGGCGGACUUUUAAGUGAGAUGUGAAAUCCCCGAGCUUAACUUGGGAACUGCAUUUCAGACUGGGAGUCUAGAGUACUUUAGGGAGGGGUAGAAUUCCACGUGUAGCGGUGAAAUGCGUAGAGAUGUGGAGGAAUACCGAAGGCGAAGGCAGCCCCUUGGGAAUGUACUGACGCUCAUGUGCGAAAGCGUGGGGAGCAAACAGGAUUAGAUACCCUGGU